rnacentral:lncRNA from 1 species
CCUCUUGUAGUCCCAGCUCCCGACAGGCCCUCUCUCUUUCAAUUUUUUUUCUUUUCUUCUCUUCUCCUUCAUCCUCCCAGUCCGGUCGCCCACCCCUUGCGCCCAGCCCGCAUCAGAUCCACCCAAAUCUCCUCCAGAACUCGGAUUUCCUCUACAUUUCUCUUCAAUCUGUGGUAUUCCUUCUCCAUUUUUUUUUUCUUCUUCUUCUUGCAACCUGUUAACCCUAACCUUGCUUCUAUUUAUUUUUUUUUAUUAUUUUUACAAAUUGCUUGUACUUUUUCAACCAAAUCUCAUCCUCUACUUA